UAGGUGUCCAUCUUGUGGACGAGGCGGCGGCGGCGGUGUGUUGACGAUGAUGCUGGUGAAGACCAUGUUGAUGGAGACCUUGGCGAUGAAGUGUCGGCUAUGGCGUUGCAACAGCGUGUCGAAGAUGAUGUCGCUUGAAGGCGUCUCUCACGGCGACGAUGUGUCGAUGCCGUGUCGCGCCGGAGAAGUCGAUGAAGACUUGCAUCUCUCUCCACACCGGCCUGGCGUGUGGACGAUGCAUGUCAUGGUCCUUUUCAUACAUGUGCUCGAUGAAGAUUUUUUUUCUCUUGGGCGUGAUGUAGACGUACAGCUCGAUGAUGUGGCGCGGGUCGGUGUAGAUCGCUCAGCGAAGAUAGCUUGGUGCAGCGGUUAUUGGACGUGGCCCGAAGAUUGCAGUCGGUGCAGGUCAGCCGGCUCGAUGCAGAAGUAGCAGGUCAAUGUCGAUGUAGACGAGUUCGGCCGGUGCGUUGUAGUCACGUACGCGUACAAGCCGUACGGCUGCUGUGUGCCGUAGUCGCAUGGACGGAAAAUUGAUUGGAGCUGCACCAUCAAUCGUGGAGUCCGUGACGAGGCUGGUGAAUCUGCAUGGAGACUUGAACAUGGACGAUCGUUAAUUGUAUUUGCACUUGGCUCGUCUUUGCUCACGU
rnacentral:lncRNA from 1 species